rnacentral:rRNA from 1 species
UGCAAGUAGAACGCUGAGAGAGGAGCUUGCUCUUCUUGGAUGAGUUGCGAACGGGUGAGUAACGCGUAGGUAACCUGCCUUGUAGCGGGGGAUAACUAUUGGAAACGAUAGCUAAUACCGCAUAACAAUGGAUGACACAUGUCAUUUAUUUGAAAGGGGCAAUUGUUCCACUACAAGAUGGACCUGCGUUGUAUUAGCUAGUAGGUGAGGUAAUGGCUCACCUAGGCGACGAUACAUAGCCGACCUGAGAGGGUGAUCGGCCACACUGGGACUGAGACACGGCCCAGACUCCUACGGGAGGCAGCAGUAGGGAAUCUUCGGCAAUGGGGGCAACCCUGACCGAGCAACGCCGCGUGAGUGAAGAAGGUUUUCGGAUCGUAAAGCUCUGUUGUAAGUCAAGAACGGGUGUGAGAGUGGAAAGUUCACACUGUGACGGUAGCUUACCAGAAAGGGACGGCUAACUACGUGCCAGCAGCCGCGGUAAUACGUAGGUCCCGAGCGUUGUCCGGAUUUAUUGGGCGUAAAGCGAGCGCAGGCGGUUUGAUAAGUCUGAAGUUAAAGGCUGUGGCUCAACCAUAGUUCGCUUUGGAAACUGUCAAACUUGAGUGCAGAAGGGGAGAGUGGAAUUCCAUGUGUAGCGGUGAAAUGCGUAGAUAUAUGGAGGAACACCGGUGGCGAAAGCGGCUCUCUGGUCUGUAACUGACGCUGAGGCUCGAAAGCGUGGGGAGCGAACAGGAUUAGAUACCCUGGUAGUCCACGCCGUAAACGAUGAGUGCUAGGUGUUGGAUCCUUUCCGGGAUUCAGUGCCGCAGCUAACGCAUUAAGCACUCCGCCUGGGGAGUACGACCGCAAGGUUGAAACUCAAAGGAAUUGACGGGGGCCCGCACAAGCGGUGGAGCAUGUGGUUUAAUUCGAAGCAACGCGAAGAACCUUACCAGGUCUUGACAUCCCGAUGCUAUUUCUAGAGAUAGAAAGUUACUUCGGUACAUCGGUGACAGGUGGUGCAUGGUUGUCGUCAGCUCGUGUCGUGAGAUGUUGGGUUAAGUCCCGCAACGAGCGCAACCCCUAUUGUUAGUUGCCAUCAUUCAGUUGGGCACUCUAGCGAGACUGCCGGUAAUAAACCGGAGGAAGGUGGGGAUGACGUCAAAUCAUCAUGCCCCUUAUGACCUGGGCUACACACGUGCUACAAUGGUUGGUACAACGAGUUGCGAGUCGGUGACGGCGAGCUAAUCUCUUAAAGCCAAUCUCAGUUCGGAUUGUAGGCUGCAACUCGCCUACAUGAAGUCGGAAUCGCUAGUAAUCGCGGAUCAGCACGCCGCGGUGAAUACGUUCCCGGGCCUUGUACACACCGCCCGUCACACCACGAGAGUUUGUAACACCCGAAGUCGGUGAGGUAACCUUUUGAGCC